rnacentral:rRNA from 1 species
AACGAACGCUGGCGGCAUGCCUAACACAUGCAAGUCGAACGAGACCUUCGGGUCUAGUGGCGCACGGGUGCGUAACGCGGGGGAACCUGCCCUUAGGUUCGGAAUAACUCUCCGACAGGGGUGCUAAUACCGGAUAAUGUCUUCGGACCAAAGAUUUAUCGCCUUUGGAUGGGCCCGCGUUGGAUUAGCUAGUUGGUAGGGUAAAAGCCUACCAAGGCGACGAUCCAUAGCUGGUCUGAGAGGAUGAUCAGCCACACUGGGACUGAGACACGGCCCAGACUCCUACGGGAGGCAGCAGUGGGGAAUAUUGGACAAUGGGCGAAAGCCUGAUCCAGCAAUGCCGGGUGAGUGAUGAAGGCCUUAGGGUUGUAAAGCUCUUUUACCCGGGAUGAUAAUGACAGUACCGAGAGAAUAAGCUCCGGCUAACUCCGUG